rnacentral:rRNA from 1 species
GAUGAACGCUAGCGGCAGGCCUAAUACAUGCAAGUCGAGCGGCAAGUCGAGGAGUAAUCUAAGACCUAGAGCGGCGCACGGGUGCGUAACGCGUAUGCAACCUACCUUAUACUGGGGGAUAGCCCGGAGAAAUCUGGAUUAAUACCCCAUGGCACAUAUUGAUGGCACCUGAGAUAUGUUAAAGAUUUAUUGGUAUAAGAUGGGCAUGCGUCUGAUUAGCUAGUUGGCGGUGUAACGGACCACCAAGGCGACGAUCAGUAGGGGUUCUGAGAGGAAGGUCCCCCACACUGGCACUGAGAUACGGGCCAGACUCCUACGGGAGGCAGCAGUAGGGAAUAUUGGGCAAUGGUCGGAAGACUGACCCAGCCAUGCCGCGUGCAGGAAGACGGCCCUCUGGGUUGUAAACUGCUUUUAUCUGGGAAGAAAAGGCCAUGCGUGGCAAAUUGCCGGUACCAGAUGAAUAAGC